GUUUUAGUAGCUUAAAUGGUUAAAGCAUACGACUGAAGAUCGUAAUAAGGAGGUUCAAUUCCUUCCUAGAACA